GCAGAUGCUAGAAGGCGCUGAAUUAGGGAAUCCUCAUCAGAAGAUGAAAAAGGCAGAGGCCUAAGAAAAAUAAUUUUUUCGAAGCACCUGAUAGGUCAUUAUUCUAAAUGUGCGUCUCCACCAAUGGAGGAAGCUGAUCAAUCAUCAGCAGAUUCAGAUUAUAGACUACAGGAGAUCGGGAUGCCACAACCAGAGAACGUAACUCGGUUAUGGCCUGCUCAAACAUCUUCCAAUUUCUACAGCCCUCCCUGCAUGACAGGGACAGUUGCUAUCGAACACAAUGGCACACUCGAGUUUCUUUUUAACAGAAUGCAUUUGUGCAUUUUUACGCAGAAUAAAAAAUAACUUUAAAUGUUGAGAGGAACCCCUAGUUUAUAAAUUGAUUGUAUUUUAUAGAGAUCUUACGACACCCAUCAUGGCCAAAACAAACAGGUGUCAACCAACAUGAGCCACCUACCACUGAAAAUCGAUACAAAAUACCUGAUCGACCCUCGUCGAUUAUCAAUCAAGAGGUUCAGACUAGAGAGACUAGAGUUGAAAACAAUGGGAACCUAGAAAGAAAGAUUGAUAGGUUGACUGAGCUUGUUGGAAGGAUUCUCCUAGAAAUAGAAGAGAUAAAGUUACAGCGAGGAAAAAAUGAAGUGCUGAAUCACACCGGUUUGAGGAAUGAAUUUCCGUUUACAUCUCUGGAAAAACUUAAGGAAUUUGAGGCAAGACUAGAAGAUGAGGAGGA